UGUAAGCGUAUACCAAAGUUGUUGCAGUUAAAACGCUCGUAGUCGGAAUUUGGCAGUUCCGGAUGUGUGCACGUCGUGUGCGCACUUCGCGGGGAUUGCUUUUGUGGUCUUGCGUAGGAUGAGGCACUUUUAUUAGUGAACGUCCUCACGCAACCACUUUUUACUGUGAGAAAAUCAGAGUGCUCAAAGCAGGCAUUUGCCGUGAAUGUAUUAGCAUGGAAUAAUAGAAUAGGACUUGGUUCUAUUUUGUUGGUUUGUUGGGACUGAGUAAUGAUUAAGAGGGACAGUUGGGGGCAUUUGUAUUUCGGUGCUAGAGGUGAAAUUCUUAGAUUACCGAAAGACAAACUGCUGCGAAAGCGUCUGCCAAGGAUGUUUUCAUUAA
rnacentral:rRNA from 1 species